rnacentral:rRNA from 1 species
UUGAACGCUGGCGGCAGGCUUAACACAUGCAAGUCGAGCGGGGAAAGGUAGCUUGCUACCUGACCUAGCGGCGGACGGGUGAGUAAUGCUUAGGAAUCUGCCUAUUAGUGGGGGACAACAUCUCGAAAGGGAUGCUAAUACCGCAUACGUCCUACGGGAGAAAGCAGGGGACCUUCGGGCCUUGCGCUAAUAGAUGAGCCUAAGUCGGAUUAGCUAGUUGGUGGGGUAAAGGCCUACCAAGGCGACGAUCUGUAGCGGGUCUGAGAGGAUGAUCCGCCACACUGGGACUGAGACACGGCCCAGACUCCUACGGGAGGCAGCAGUGGGGAAUAUUGGACAAUGGGGGGAACCCUGAUCCAGCCAUGCCGCGUGUGUGAAGAAGGCCUUUUGGUUGUAAAGCACUUUAAGCGAGGAGGAGGCUACCGAGAUUAAUACUCUUGGAUGGUGGACGUUACUCGCAGAAUAAGCACCGGCUAACUCUGCG